AUCAAUCAAGUCCACCAUGUAUGUCAUAUUACGUGUACGUUUCACGGAGAAGUACAAUUCAUGUGAUUUCAUAUUUAACUUUCUCGCAAUCUCUGCAACUUUGAAGAGUUUUUCCUCUUGAGCCUGGGCUAUUAUAUUCGUGUAAGUCUGUGAUUCCGCAUGUCAAUCAUGAAACUAUUGCUUCAACUUGUUACGAAUGUUCUCAAUCAUUGCGAGGGUUGAUAACUCUGGAUCCUUUGACGUCAUCAUGUUGUAUUAGCGUCCUGAAAAAUGUGGCAAAUUUAUUAAACAAAAAAUUCAGCCUUGCCACUUGGGUCAAUUGUUAAACAAUCGACUAUAAAAUCUAUCCGAAAAUGUAUAAUUGCCACAAAUCUCAUCUGAAAGGAUAUACAUGCGGAUGAAUUUUUUCUUGUUAGUGCUUAAAAAAUUAUAGAUUUGUUAAAAAAAAUUAUCUACAUGUUAAUAUAUGUCGAAAUAAGAUUUAUCGAUUAAAACGUACAUUAAUUUAAUGAAAAUAAAAUUAAUACGUAAAUAUAUUUACCGAUUCGAAGUGAUUGAUAAAAAAAAUAUUUCAUUGUUCAGCAUUCGAUAAAUUUCUAAGAUUUUGAGGUUGAAGCAUAUGAAAUAUGAGUGUUUUUAUUUGUAAUGGAAUAAACAGAUAAGAAAAGUUAUUUGGUUUAGAAAUUUUAAAUAGGAAAUGUUUGGUUUUCACUUGUUAAGUGAAAUGGUUGUAUUGUCUUUUAAAUAAAACAAUAUUUUGUAAUUAUAUAACAUAAGUGCAUAGUUGUCUUUUAACAUCAAAAAUGUCAUUGUGGAAUAUGCAGUUGUUGAAAAUUCAGAGUGAAAAUUAGAGGGUUUGACCAAACUAAUUUUUAAAAGUACCCCCAGAAGGAGAGACAUAAAUCAAGAAGCGGUAAAAGGGAGAAAAAAAAAAAAGGAAAGAAGAAGAGGCCGGUUUAAAAAUGGGAAAUGGGAAAUGAUGGCUAAACACUUAUGAGGUAGGGUUCUUCAAUUUCUCCUUUAAUUUAUAGUUGAAUUAUCUUUUAAGGUUUAUAAAAAAUUGUAUAUUUUUGAAUAUUAAGGUGUAUCUGAGUAAUUUAAGAAUACUAUUGCAAAGAAAUAUGAAUAUGUAAAGAUUUAUGUUGAAGUAUAUAAGAGACAUGAAAUUGGUUUGUAAAUUAGUCUCAAAUUCUAAUUCUAUUAUGUGUAGAUGGUACCAAACACUUGAUUAUGAUGUAUUACUGUGAGUGAUGAAUUUGACGUUGAAUUUUGAUUUUUAAUCACGAAAAGGCAAAGGGUACAUUUUUUUUUGUAGAUUACAUGUGAUGUGAUAAGAUAAUGAUAUGGAUUUGAGUUGAUGGUUAGUUAUAUCAUGAAUAUGAGAUGAUAUUUUUCAGUAUUAUGAGGCGUCUUACAUCUUGAUUAUUAUUAUAUGUUGUUAUAAUGUGAAUGUUUAAUGAGGUCAACUUGAUUUUCGAUAAAAAAGUAUAAAUGUGAAAGUAUAAUUAUUUUCAAACUUCUUUAUCUACUGAGCUAUCAACUCAUAUAUUUUCUUAUAAUUUUUACUACAGGUGGCAUUUGGUUCUUUAUAGUUGGAGGAACCCAAUGAUUUCAAAGUGAAAAUCACACACAACAUAUUUAGUGAUAUAAUUCAUUUGGGGCCCAUUGCAUUAUUUCUUCCGUAAACAUAUUAUUUGGCGCAUAUUUAGUAGUAACUCAUAGUCAGCCUAGGCGAUGAAUCUGGCAUCUCAUUAGCAUUUAUCAUCGGUGCACGCUACAUUUUGGGUCCACUAAGGUGAUUCGAGGUGUCAGUAACACUUAAAUGAACCUAAGUAUUUAAGAUAUAUAAUCAAUAAGAGUUACAUGAGUAUCCAUUAAGAUUAGAUGUUGGUACCUUCCGUUGCCUUGUUUUGAAAGUUUUAGUGAUUGUUUUCCUAUUACAAUUAUCUUAGCUUUUUACUUUUGUUUCUUUGACACAAUUUUUGGUAUCGGUUGGUAUUGUUCUUCCAUUUUAAGACUUGUAUUGGAAGUGAAGGUUUUGUAAAUUAUUUUUUUCUUUUUGUAAAGCUGAAGGAAGUGUAGUGUUUUUUGUUUUAAAAUCGGAAAUGAAGUCUUUGUAAAAGCAAAUGUAUUAUUUAUAGAGGAAAUGUCACAGAUAAAUUGUCAAAGUUUUAAUAAAAAGCAAGAAAGAUCAGGAUGUACAGUGUCUGGUUAUAUUAGAAUCAGUACUUUAUGUUCAAAUUAGAGCUGCAAUUAUCGGAUAAGUAUGGGCAAGCAAAUUAAUUGAUUGUUGAAGCUUCAACUUGUACAAGAAUGCCCUUAAAUAAAAAACUAUUGAAUGAAAAUCACACAAUACACGCUAGAAAACAAAUUCUACUAUAUAAAAUAAGACAUGGCUACGUCCCUACUACAUAUAGAAUUGUAAAGCUAUUAUUAAAUGUGAUUGUUUAGAUAGAUUCAUGUAAAUAUGAAAUAUACAUAUUUUAAAAACAAUUAUAAAUAAAACAAAUGAAGGAAAAUAUUUAAUUUGUAGUUAAUCUAAGAGAAAAUAAGCCCCCGUUUGGCCCUCAUUAAAUUUCAUUUCAUUUUUUUCUUUUUUAUUUUUAACCACACAAUUUUCCAUAAAAUAAUAUUAUAUGUAAAUCGAAUUUUUUUCUUCUUUUUUCAAUCACUCAUUUUUAAAAAAAACAUUAGUCCAUCUAUUUUCAUUUCUAAAAUGAGGGCCAAAUGUGGGCUAAGACUGAAGUAAAAAAAAUUUUUAGUACUUACAAAAAAUCAAGAAGAUAAUGUAGUAAUAUAGUUAUAUAUAUCCAAGCUGUAGAACUAUGCUUGCAUAUUCCCAAUGGCAGGAGAAGACUCAACAGCAGGAGAAGACUCAACAAAAUUUAUGAAGGGAAACAUAAUGAAGAGAUUAAACCACAUUGUACCAUUACCAAACCGAUAGAGAGAUCAGCAUUGGAAGCGACUUCAGUUUCUCCACUGCACAUAGUGACACAACCAAUUAAAAAUAAGUCUAUUCACCAAAAUGUAUCUUUUAUCAUGACACAUGAGCUAAGUUUCAUACAUGUUGUUGCGUAUUGUCAUACUUGGCCAAUCUACCUGGGCUAGUGGCCCACUCAGCCGAACCACGUGGCACUUCAGUCGAGGCGGUACAUAUUGUCGAGGUGGGCUACGUCCGAAGCCCUUCAAUCCGAGGCAUGCCUCUUCACCGAGGCCUGUGAUGGCAACCGAGGUCGACAUGCUGAGACCUAUUGCCCGACGCCAUGAUGCGGAGCUGGUUGAAGUUAGCUGAAGCCCUCAAGUGGAAGUAUUGUAUGAAAUGGCGGAAGCCCCGAAACUGAUGCAGGAGCAUCCGAACCACAUGGGAACAUCCUCCAUGAUCACUUCUCCCAAAAGAUCAUCUACACAAAGAUCUUAUUCGAAUGAUUGAUGGAACGUUUGUCAUAAGCAUAAAGGUCAAGUCUUAUCACUAGCAUGGAGGCUUUGCACAAGCAAUAAAUGCGCAGCAAGCUAGCAAGUCAAGCCCCCUGCCUAGGAUAAGAUGUUUGAAUCAAAGAGAUGAGGCCACGUGCCACCUCAUCCAAGGGCCCCCAUUUUACAUGUAUCACUAUAAAUACUUUCCUUGUGUAACAUCAAAGGACUAAUGCAAGAAUCUAUACAAAAAACUACACUUUACUCAACUCUCUCUCAUUUAUUUGCAAUACACAAAUUGAGUUUACAUAUAUUUACAUGUACAUUUACAAACACCGGUUGGUAAUUAUUGUACAAUCGGAUCACGAACAACCCGUCGGAUUUCGAACGUCACCGUCCCGCGUCGUUGGGCUACUCCCACGCCCUUUGAAUCGCUCGUUGUAGACCGUCCACGUGUCAUAGCAUGUUGGACAUUCGCCCACGUGUGUGCGGGUGGGACCGACAUCUGUUGGCAACACUUUUUGGGGUCAACAGAUUGGCGCCGUCUAUGGGAAACCAUACCAUAACCGCGAGCAACUUUGUGGUAAAAGCUUACUGAAAGGACAUUUGGGCAACCCCCCUUGAAAAAGGAUUUAUUCUUGGAAAAGAAUAGGAGGAAGCCCCAUUACUUAGUGAAAUCUGAAGUCUUACAAAAGAAAAUGAGCUCCAAUGAAGAUACUCCCCCUAGGAGAGUAAGAGAAAACACGAACGUGCCUCCUCAGCCCGCUGCCCCAGCAGCUCGACAAAGACUCCACCACCACCAAAGAAGAGGUGGGAUGCGUGCAACGGCACGACUAUCAAGAGAAAUGGCCGUCAUGGCUGCCAACAUGAGGGAUAUUGCUAUCCAAAACUUGGCUAUGAGGGAGCUUAUGGCCCAAAUGCAGGGUCAGGGAGGCUUCCUCAUUCUUCUAUACGCCCCCCAAGGGCACUACCAGCAAGAUGAUGAAGUUCAAAGUCAUAGAACUACCUCGCCAGACUAUGGUCGAGGUGGAAGCCCAUUUGAAAGGGAAGUUGAAGUUGAUGUUUCUUCCAACUACGCUUCUGGCCGACCCACCGAGGUCCCAAUGAGCCAUGAUAAUUUUCCACCUCCGUAUGAGCAAGAUCCAAGGCAUAGGAGGGCAGGAAGUGUUUUUGAUAGAAUCAGCCCCGCCGAACCGAGUCUCAGGCAACAACAGGCACAACAGCCUUGGACAAGGCCGCCUCCUCCACCUCCAAUGCCCCAGCAGGCGGAGAGAAGCCAUGAAAAUGCCCCCUGUGUUGCUCUGCCUAGAAAUAGGCAACAGAGGAGGGGGGAAGAGGCUAGGGAUCGCCCCGGAACCUCUCACCAACAACCGGGGCAUGGGGUUGAUGAGUACGACUCUGACGAACAGCAGAGGUCCUGGGACUUAGACGAUGACGAUGAGAAUCUACCGUUCUCAACGGAACUAAGGAAUGCUCACGUCUCGAGCCACUAUGUUAUGCCAAAAAUACCAAAGUAUGACAAAAGAGAUGACUCGAAAAAGCACCUAAAUGCUUAUAAAACUCACAUGAACCUAAGGGGCGCCACCCCAGCCUUGAAGUGCAGAGCCUUCCAUUUAACGCUUAGUGGAGCGGCUGAAAUUUGGUAUAGUAGAUUGCCACCUGGGAGCAUUAGAAGCUGGCCCGAGUUCAAGACAACAUUCUUGAAGAGGUUCGCGGUGAGCAAAGAAGGAGAGGCCCCCUGUUCACAGAAUAUUUCUUCUCGAUUUUAAAACCCACCGCAAGUGUACGGUUCGUUAACAAGUAGUAAAAUGGACUAUGAGUCCAAGUAUCGUUCCCACGAGGAUUGAAUUAGCUCUAAUUAGACUAAUGUGAUCUUAACCGAAUCUAAUUGAAUGAAAAUUUGAUUUAAAUGUGAAAAACCCUAAAAUUGGAAGAAAUCCCCAAUUUGAAACCCUAAUUUCAAAAUUAGAAACCCUAAUUUUGAAAUUUCACUAAUCGAAUGAAAUAAACAUGCAAUUGAAAUGUAAAUAUGCAAUUUUAUCACUAAUGUAUUGAAAUGAAUAGAAAUGAAAUCAUUAAGAACUCGAAUCCCCAAUUGACUAUUAAAAACCCUAAUUUCACAAAUUCAACGAAUCGAUGGAACAAAAUGCCAAUUCAAUGUUUCUAAAUUAUCCAAUACACUCUCUCGAUAUAUAUUGAAUCUACUCUUACACACCACCAGCCUAUAUUUAUAUGGAUGAUGCAAUGUACAAGAAUGCAUGACUUUUUAUGAACAUUUUCAUGAAUUGCAUAAAGCAUAAAGGUAAGUUUCCAUCCCCUAUCGGACCCUAUGUCNNNNNNNNNNNNNNNNNNNNNNNNNNNNNNNNNNNNNNNNNNNNNNNNNNNNNNNNNNNNNNNNNNNNNNNNNNNNNNNNNNNNNNNNNNNNNNNNNNNNNNNNNNNNNNNNNNAAGGAGUUUCAGCCAAAACGAAAAACUACGCCCGAAGUUUCAAAAACAUACUAUGCGACCGCAUAGAAGGGAUCUAUGUGGUCGCAUAGAUCAAAUUUUUUUUGCUCAUUGAAUCCCUGAAACCUUCUAUGCGACCGCAUAGAAGGUUACACUAUGCGGUCGCAUAGAAGUAACCAUCUAUGUGGUUUGUGCAAUUUGGUCCCUGAACUUCUUUGUUGCUUCUCUUGACUUCUUUCUUCGAUUUCUUCAUCUUUUCAACAAUUCUUAUCUUCCAAUUGAUGAUCGACACUUUCAAAUAUUAUGCCACUCAUUCGGCACAUCUUUUGAGUAUUUGCACUUUAGUCCUCCAACUUUCAAUUUUCUUCAUUUUAGUCUAUCUUCCAUUCUUUCUUCCUCCACUUGUUUUGCUUUGUCAUUGAGCUCAUACUUGGCAUGUUUUUACUCUCGUUUUGCAUUUAGCUCAACUUUUCAAUAUUUGCACCUUUGGUCCUCGAACUAUCAAAUUGUUGCGUUUUGGUCCUUCUUCGGCUCUUUUCUCCUGAAUUCCACAAUUUUCAUUGAAUCACCUACAAUGCAUGAAUUUAAUUGGAUUAAGUCACAAUUCAACCAUUUUAUCCAUGUUUAAGUCAUGUUUGUGAACCAAAUAAGUGUAAAAACACACUUAUCACCCCCAUCCAACGUCUCCAGGACAUGAGGCAAGCACAUGGGGAGUCCCUAAAGAGCUUCUUAUCACGUUUCACCGAUGAGAUGACAUACUGCGUACAAGUCAUUGAUCGAGAGGCACUAUCCGCAUUAAGGGGAGGUCUGAACAUGAAUACCUUAUUCUGGAGAGAUGUGCAGAAUCAAGAACCCACCACCUAUGACGCCCUACUCGAAAUGAUGAGAAGGGAGAUCAUCAAUGAAGAAUUGAUUGAGCAUAGGAACAGGGCAAGUAGAGGCCUCCCACCUCCUCAAAGACAGUGCGAUAGAGGACGAUCUCUCACCAAGCUGGAAAUGAGAACUCUGGUCAAGCACUUGCCACCGCCACCCUGAAUACGGUUCCCACCUUGGCAUAUGAGGAUGUCAACCUAAUUACUGACCCCCAUCAGAUGGGGGCCUAGGAGAUACCCCGUCGGGGGAGAGGCCGAGGUCAAAGUUCUAGACCUAGAAAUAGGUCAAAUCCGAACCCUCCAGGAUACUGUGUACACCAUAGGUCCUACGGGCAUGACACAGCGGAUUGUAGAGACUAUGCACAACGUGCCCGGUAGGAACCCGUUAGAGACGGAUAUGAUUAGCCCCAGGCGAAUAAGCCCCCGCCCAGGCACGACAACCGACGUGGGCGUGAGGAGAUCGCUCCCUGUCAAAGGGAUGUAUCCCCGAGGCGAAUGGAGCAUAAUGCGGAGAGGCCCAGGGAAGGGCGUGGGCACCAAAGAAAUCGACAAGCUCGAGAUGAAGUCCCUAUUCACGAGGUGGAUACCAUAUUUGGAGGUUCGUAUGUUGGCCGUGAAACACGAAACGCCAAAAGGAACUAUGAUCGGGAGGCUAAACACCCCCCUUUGACAAGCUACAUUGUGGGUAGCAGCUCUCGAAGAAACCAGGUUCCACCCAUUGUAUUUACCCAGGAAGACGCAGAGGGAGUUCAUUACCCCCAUUGCGAUGCACUUGUGGUGAGAGCUGUCAUAGCCAGGAAUGGGCUCAAACGAAUGUUAGUCUACAACGGCAGCUCCGUCAACAUUCUAUUCGGAUCCGCCUUUGAUAAAAUGAUAUUGGAUCAUCAGCUGACGCCCACCACCAAACCAUUGUACGGAUUUACCGGAGAUAGCAUCACUUCGAGGGGAAAGAUAACACUUGUGGUGGAGAUGGGAGAAUUCCCACGAACAACGAUGAACUUCAUGGAGUUCCUCAUUGUCGACAGCAGGUCGGAUUACCACAGAGUUUUGGGCAGGCUAGCCCUGAAGGAAUUGGGAGCAGUCACCUCCAUCCACCACCUAUGCAUGAAAUUCCCGACAGAGAAUGGGGUGGCAAAGGUGAAAGGCGACCAAAGAGGCUCAAGAGAGUGCUAUCUAAGCUCCAUCAAGAAGGUAGAGCCCCGGGACGUCCAUGUAAUCAUAGCUGACGUGGUCAUAGCCGAUGUCCCAAGUAAUGCUCCCACCGAACAAGAAGAUGUUGAUAUGAUCGACGCUCCACCUAAUCUGAGGUGCAAGUAAUUGAUAAGAUUGACCCCCGCAUAACGGAACACGAGCCUCAGGCAUCCCCAGUAGAGGAACUUGAGAGCUUCUCGGUAGACCCCCCGAGACCCAUCAAAAGGUGCUGAAGGUAGGCAAAUGCCUAUCCAACAUUCUGAAGGAAAAGAUCAAGGAUUUCCUGAGCUGAUGUCUUUGCUUGGAGGUAUGAGGACAUGGUAGGCAUAGACCCCAAGGUCAGCUGCCACCACCUAAAAAUCGAUCCUAAGGUUGCCCCACAUAGACAAAAAAGGAGAGACCUCAAUUCUGAGAGGUAUGAGGCCCUAAAGGAAGAAGUUCAGAAGCUCAUCCAAAAUGGCUUCAUUAGGGAGGCAACCUACCCAAAGUGGGUCUCUAACCCGGUUUUGGUAAAGAAACACAACGGCAAAGUGCAUCGACUUCACCAACCUCAAUAGAGCUUGCCCGAAAGACAGCUUUCCACUCCCAAGAAUUGACCAACUAGUAGACUCUACUGCUGGGCACGAGUUGUUGAGUUUCAUGGAUGCGUACUCUGGCUACAACCAAAUUCCCAUGCACCCGGCUGAUGAAGAGCACACCUCUUUCAUCACAGACCAAGGCCUCUAUUGUUAUAGAAUGAUGCCCUUCGGGUUGAAAAAUGUCGGAGCAACCUACCAAAGACUCGUAAAUAAGAUGUUUAUGGACCUCAUUGGCAAACAAUGGAGGUCUACGUAGAAAUUUUGGAGGCUGAGGACCACAUGACGCACCUCAAUAGCACUUUCCAAAUCCUAAGAAGGUAUAGGAUGAGACUAAACCCCCUCAAGUGCGCCUUUGGGGUAGCUUCCGACAAAUUCUUGGGGUACAUGGUCAACCAACGAGGAAUUGAGACCAACCCCGAAAAGAUUGAGGCUCUAUGCAAAAUGAGGUCCUCCCAAAAGCCAAAGGAGGUACAAAGUCUUACCGGACGAGUGGCCGCACUUAGCCGCUUCGUUUCCAAAGCUACGGACAAAUGCCUCCCAUUUUUCAAGGUACUGAAGGCUGGGAAGAAAUUCCAGUGGACUGAGGAAUGUGAAGAGGCCUUCCAAUGCCUGAAAAUGCACCUGGGACAGGCCUCCCUCCUCUCCAAACCGAAGCCUGGUGAUAUCCUACAACUAUAUAUGGACGUCUCUAAUGAGGCUAUCAGCUCGGUUCUAAUACGGGAAGAAGGGUCUACCCAACUCCCCGUAUACUACACAAGUAAAGCGCUCCUAUCGUUGGAAACCCGUUAUCCCGAUAUGGAGAAGCUAGCUUUGGCCUUGAUCACGGCCUCUAGGAAAUUGAGACCCUACUUCCAAGCUCACACCAUCCAUAUACUGACAAACUUUUCCCUGAGGUAGGUACUCCAAAGGCCUGAUGCCUCAGGAAGGUUAUUGAAAUGGGCAGUGAAACUAAGUGAAUUUGACCUUGUGUUCAAGGCUAGGGCAGCCAUAAAAGGACAAGUCUUAGUUGACUUUGUGGUUGAAUUUGCCAACCUACCCGAGGUAGAUGAAAUCAUGGAACCUGCCGAACCCCCCACGUGGGAUCUCUUCGUUGAUGGGUCAGCCGGGGAUGUUGGCUCCGGCGCUGGGGUUGUCCUCAUCAGCCCCGAAGGUCACAAACUCACCUCGGCGAUAAGAUUCGAAUUCAAAGCUACCAAUAACGCAGCAGAAUAUGAGGUACUUCUUGCGGGCCUCAGGCUGGCCACCAAAAUGCAAGUAAAGAGGCUACUCAUUAGUAGUGACUCCCAGCUGGUUGUUAGCCAGGUCAAUGGUAACUUCUCAGCCAAAGACAAAACGAUUGCCUCCUACCUGAAAAUGGUGAUGAACCUUAUCCCAUCCUUCGAAAAGUUUGAGUUGAUCCAGAUCCCCCGCAUCGAAAAAUGCGCAUGCAGAUGCACUAUCGAAGCUGGCUAGCAGCGAGGACUCAGAACUACUCACAGUAGUACCUAUUGAGCACCUCAUCCUACCUUCGAUCAAGGCCCCAACUGUAAUGUGGGUCGCUAGGACUCCUACUUGGAUGCAACCAAUCGUAGCAUACCUCAAAGACCAGGCACUGCCAACUAAAAAAAAUGAGGCUUACAAGCUAAGAAGGAGGUCAGCUCACUUCCUCUUCAUUGAUGACGUUCUCUACAAGAGGAGCUUCUCCUUCCCACUCUUACGGUGCAUCGGAGGAGAAGAGGCUACCUACAUAUUGAGGGAAGUCCACGAGGGUGUAUGCGGCAACCACUCCAGAGGUCUAUCUCUGGCACAAAAAAUAUUGAGGCAGGAGUACUAUUGGCCCACACUAAAGCGGGAUGCCCUCGAGUUUGUACGAAAAUGCGAUAAAUGUCAGCGCUUCUCUCCGGUGUAGAGACAACCAUCGCAGGAGCUGACCACCGUCUCUAGCCCCUGGCCUUUCUCAAAAUGGGGUGUGGACCUCAUAGGUCCCCCAUCUCAAGGUAGAGGAGGGGCAAGUUUUGCAAUUGUGGCUAUUGAUUACUUCACGAAGUGGGUCGAAGCCGAACCACUAGCAAAAAUCACUGAAGCCAAUACCUCCAAGUUCUUAUGGAAAAAUAUUAUUUGCUGGUUAGGAAUUCCCCACUCAAUUGUCUCAGACAAUGGCAGACAGUUUGACAACAAGAAGGUUAGAGAAUUAUGCGAAGAGCUCGGCAUAAAUAAGCACUUCUCCACACCUCACCACCACAAGCAAAUGGCCAAGUUGAGGCCAUGAACAAGACAAUCAAGCACGUCUUGAAAAGGAAGCUUGAUGUAUCAAAAGGGGCUUGGGUUGAUGAGCUGUCCCAAGUCCUUUGGGCGAUCCGAACCACCACCAGGACCCCAACAGGAGAAACGUCCUUCCUCAUGGCAUUUGGAAUUGAGGCUAUGAGCCCCGUGGAGGUCGGACUUCCAUCCCCAAGACGUCUGCACUUCAGCAAGAUAACUAACGAUGAGCUUCGGAGGCUCGACCUCGACUUCAUCGAAGAAAGAAGAGAUGACUCCCAAUUGAAGCUCGGCACAUAUCAGAGAAAGAUGACAAGGUACUUCAACUCGAAAGUCAAGAAGAGGUCAUUCCGAAUCAACGACCUUGUGCUCAGGAGGGUCUUCCUGUCCUCAAAAGAACCUGGUUCCGGUUCUCUAGGCCUAAACUAGGAAGGUCCAUACAAAAUUAGAGAAGAAGUUCGACCUGGGACUUAUUGGAUUGAAGACAUGAACGGCAAGGCACAACCCCGUCCAUGGAACAUUGAACAGCUCAGAAUCUAUUACCAAUGAAUGUACUAUUUUACUGGACGACCUUUCCCAGCCUUUGUAACAUUUCUAUGGUUCAAUAAAAUUCAGUGAUUAAAUUAACAUGUUGCACUACCUCAUCACCUCGGAGGAGAGGCUCGUGUCCCACCUCUGGGCCACCUCGCUUGAACUCCGAGAUUCCAGCACAUGCCCCCCUUUGGCCAGACAAAACGCCAAGGGGAGAAGCCUCAACAUGGCUGCACCAUCCACCAUAUCUGGGAUGCGUCAUCACCUCGGAGGAGAGGCUCGUGUCCCACCUCUGGGCCACCUCGCGUGAACUCCGAGGCUCCAGCACAUGCCUCCCUUUGGCCAAACAAAAUGCCAAGGGGAGAAGCCUCAACAUGGCUGCACCAUCCACCAUGUCUGGGAUGCGUUGUCACCUCGGAAGAGAGGCUCGCGUCCCACCUCUGGGCCACCUCGCUUGAACUCCGAGACUCUAGCACAUGCCUCCCUUUGGCCAGACAAAAUGCCAAGGGAAGAAGCCUCAACAUGGUUGCACCAUCCACCAUGUUUGGGAUGCGUCGUCACCUCGGAGGAGAGGCUCACAUCCCACCUCCGAGCCACCUCGCUUGAACUCCGAGGCUCUAGCACAUGCCUCCCUUUGGCCAGACAAAAUGCUAAGAGGAGGAGCCUCAACAUGGCUGUACCGUCCACCAUGUCUGGGAUGCGUCUUCACCUCGGAGAGAGGGUCGCCUUCUCCACCUCGCUUGAACUCCGAAGCGCUAACACAGGCUGAACGCCAAUGAGAAGCCACCUCACGCGCAAUUGAGGCUCACUUAAGUUUAAGGCUCAUACAGUUAUUAUGCUUAAGUAAAGUUCAUUAGCUAAAGUCUGAGGUUUGUACAGUCGUCCAAUCCAGUUGUUUAAAGUAAUUGAAGUUAAGGUACCAAGUUAGAGUUAUUUAGUUGGUGCUUCUGUCAACCUUUAAGUUCAUAUGCUUAAAUGAGGCGCGUACACUUUGAUAAAGAAACAACAAUGAAUGAAAUAGUCAUUAUAUUGAUCUUCAAAAAGGAUUACAAAAGUGGGCCUUAGGCCAUUACAUUCGAAAAAACUGAAAAGAAAACUAAUCUAAGCUUGGGUAGAUGGAGAAGGAGCUUCUGUGCUUUGGGCUUCGGCAUCUUGAGCAUCGGCAUUUGUCUCCCCUACCUCAGCUGCCUCAUUACCCUGUACUUUCUCAGCCGGGGUCUGAGGUACCUCAUCCACGAAUUCAGACCUGAGUUGAGUCAGAUCCAAACUCAGAUAUAGUUCCUCUGCCCGCUUCAUCACCUCAACGUAGGCAAAGUUUCUCCAGUAAGCACUGAAACUCUUAUACUCCUCUGUGUUAUGGAAGUUCGCAACAUACUCUCGCACCGCCUCUUCCCUCGCCUAUUGAGCCUCCUCUCUGGCAUGGGAUGCAUCAUCCACAUACCACUUGACUUGAGUUUCCAAGAAAUGGUAAGCUUCUUGGGCACUCGUCAAAGAGAGAUUUGCCUUCUCCAGGGCCUUGGCGGUUACCUUCUGGUGCUCAUUGGAGACCUCCACCUUCUUUGUAAGAGAAGCCACCUCGCACUAUGACUCAUGGACCUCCUUCUUCGAGGCCUCAAUCUGGGCCAAGGCAGACUCAAGCUUGGCCAUUUCUUCAAGUUUUUGGGCCCUGGCUUCUUCCGUCUCGGCCCUAACUGCCUUCAACUCCUCUACAAGGGAGGCCAUCUUUUCCUCCGAAGACUGGGUCCUUGUUUGAAAAUCACUCAAGGCCUCCCUACAUUCAAGAGCGAGGCCAAAAGUUCUGACGCUUUGGCUCACCAACGCCCUCGUCAGGUCGAUGGCAUCGUAGGAGGAAGCAUGCAGCUGCUACCUGUCCGUCCAGGACCGGUAAAAAUUCUCCGUGGCGCUUCGGACCUGCUGGGGAAGAGCCUCCACCAGGGCCAGGGCUAAGGUCUCCUCCCUUCCAGUUAGGAAGCUUGGAGACUUCCCCUUCUCCCGAACAGGCUUUUGUUUAGCUGCCUCCUCCUCGACAGCCCUCCUCAGCCUCAGCCUCAGCCUCAGCCUCAGCCUCAGCCUCUCUAACCAUUUCUAACUUGAUGGCUUUGGAGGCAGAUGCGAGCAGCUUUGGCUCGCCUGUUGAUUUGGCCUCGUGGGACACUGAUGUCCAAAAUUUCCCGGAUGAGCUAGUAACGUGCACCACCUUCCUCCUCUUCGCCUCCUCUGGGACCUUCUCUUUCUCCCAAGGCUCUUUUGGCCUCUCCUGCCUCUGGGAAGCUCCUUCUUCGGAAGCCUUUGAAGUACUGUCCUUGGAAAGGCGUUCCACCCUGCCUCGGACCUCCUUGGCCCCACUAGACCCCGGCUUCAAGGCCCUUGCCUUGACAGUGGUGGUGGCCUGUAGAAUUGUAGCCAUGUUUGGAGCUGGGUACUCCUUCCUCUUGAAUUUAUCUGCAGAAGAACGUCAAGUCAGCACAUCAGUAUCCAAUCAAAAGGACAAGGAAAUUUAGAACUAUGGGAGCCUCGUACCUCUGGAUGCCAUUAGUCCAAAAUCUAGGAAGUAGCGACUCCUGUCAAUCAGAUGGUCAAAGUGACGGAGCUUCAGAGGCCUCUUGUAGAUGUUCUCUAUCACCUCGAACUCUUCUUGGCUAAGCUCAAACCUCGUAUUACAAUCUGCAAUGGAAGCCCCAAUGGUUAGAAAUUUUCUAAAAAUUUUCUAAGUGUUCAAAUUCGGUACAAACAGGGGUUGGAAGACUCACGAGCUUCGUAAUACUGGGUCGACACUGUUCAAGAAAGGGUCUUGUCCCCCUCCACUGCCUGCCAUUUUCCCCGCACCCAGAACCAGGACUCCUUCCACCCCUUAAUGAAGGAAGGCAGUCCCACCACAAAGGGUGCGUGAGCCCCCCAAGGUGUGAGGUAAUACCACCUCCUGGACUCCUUCCCUAUGAUCCGGGGCUGAAAAAGGGUCAUGAAUACAUGGAGAGACAUGUCCUCCCCAAGUGACACCUCCUUCCUUAGGAAGUACGAGCCGACCAACUGGCUCCACCCAUUUGGUAGAACCUGGAUCGGCGACAACAUAAAGUUCCUCAACACCGCCCUAAAGACGGGGUGCAGAGGAAGACGCAUACCUACCUUAAACAGGUAUUCACUGACUGCCAUGCAUCCAGGCCUCGGAUAGCAGGCACGCUCAUUUGGCUCGGGUACUAGCAUUUCUAUGGUGUGGGAGACACUGUAUCUCUCCCUGAUCUCUCCUAACCUUUUCCACGUCAUACUUGAGGGCACCCUAGACGCCCUCCACUCUUCAGUAUAAUCUACUGGGUCCUCGUCCAUAGCAUAACUAUCAGCUUCGGCAUCCCUCCUCUGACUGACCCCAUAAUCUAACGACGCUACAAUCACCAACUCCCUACCCGAUGAGGACUCUAUGUCACAGAAUUAACACACAAAAGGGGUUUUUCUGCGAAUAAUACCUAAGGGAAGAACACUACGCGAAUAGAGAAUAGACUGAAAAAAUCAAAGAACAGGCAGCCUUGACGCCGAAAAGUUCAAGAUUUUGAGAGAGAAUUAAAUUGCAAGUUUUCAAAAGUCCUAAAAAAUGGGAUUCUCUUACCUUUUAUAGAGGUCCAGGACAAACCCCAACCGUCAGAUCGAAUCUCAGUCAAUCUGAACCCUCCUUUGAAGAAUAAAUCCGAGGCGUUGAAUUCAAACGAUUUUUCCAACCUACGUCUCAGAUUCAAGCGUGCCUCCCACGCACCCCAUCCAAUGCGUCUGCUUUUAGAACCUCCAGCUGUCCUCAUAAUUGUGUUUUUAAUUCGACAGCAGCAAGUGCCUUGGAAGUCGUACGGGUCAGCCGCUUUUCCUCGAAAACAAGCACAAAACAUCAAAUCAUUGGCGCGGCUAUCGACGCACGAUCAUUCCCAUCGAAGCUCGACUUCAACUUCAGCGAUCAGCCUACGAGCCUCGCGGGUUCGGUUUUCCAACCACUUCGGUUUCAACUUCAGCGAUCAGCCUACGAGCCUCGCAGGUUCGAUUUCCCAACCACCUCGACUUCAGCUUCAGUGAUCAGCCUAUGAGCCUCGCAGGUUCGGUUUUCCAACUACCUCGGCUUCCACCUCAACAUAGCCUCGAUCUCUUCAUGCAGCACAUCUCAAACUCCAACCAUGACAUAAAUAUCUAUACUUGGACUUGGGGGACUAUUGUUGUGUAUUGUCAUACUUGGCCAAUCUACCUGGGCCAAUGGCCCACUCAGCAGAACUAUGUGGCACUUCAGUCGAGGCGGUACAUAUUGUCGAGGUGGGCUACGUCCGAAGCCCUUCAAUCCGAGGCAUGCCCCUUCAUCGAGGCCUGUGAUGGCAACCGAGGUCGACAUGCUGAGACCUAUUGCCGGACGCCAUGAUGCGGAGCUGGUUGAAGUUAGUUGAAGCCCUCAAGUGGAAGUAUUGUAUGAAAUGGCAGAAGCCCUGAAGCUGAUGCAGGAGCAUUCGAACCACAUGGGAACGUCCUCCAUGAUCACUUCUCCUAAGAGAUCGUCUACACAAAGAUCUUAUUCGAAUGAUUGAUGGAACGUUUGUCAUAAGCAUAAAGGUCAAGUCUUGUCACUAGCAUGGAUGCUCUGCACAAGCAAUAAAUGCGCAGCAAGCUAGCAAGUCAAGCCCCUGCCUAGGAUAAGAUGUUUGAAUCAAAGAGAUGAGGCCACGUGCCACCUCAUCCAAGGUCCCCCAUUUCACAUGUAUCACUAUAAAUACUUCCCUUGUGUAACAUCAAAGGACUAAUGCAAGAAUCUAUACAAAGAACUACACUUUACUCAACUCUCUCUUAUUUAUUUGCAAUACACAAAUCGAGUUUACAUAUAUUUACAUGUACAUUUACGAAUACCGGUUGGUAAUUAUUGUACAAUCGGAUCACGAACAACCCUCCGGAUUCCAAACGUCACCGUCCCGCAUCGUUGGGCUACUCCCACGACCUUUGAAUCACUCGUUGUAGACUGUCCACGUGUCAUAGCGUGUUGGACAUUCGUCCACGUGUGUGCAGGUAGGACCGACAUCUGUUGGCAACACUUUUUGGGGUCAACACAUGUGGUGACUGACCAUCACACCCGAGUUAGCAUUUUUGGACAUUUUUAUAGCUUCAAUAUUCUCAUGGUUGAUUAGUUAGCCAAGGAGCAUGUUGCAGUUAUAUUUUACAGUAUGCUAAUAAAAAAGUCAAGUAAUGGAUAGAACAAAUAUUUACCUUGAGAAGAAGGGCCUCGUAGGUUUUCUCUUUAAU
rnacentral:lncRNA from 1 species